UAAAGAAAUGUGGCUCUGUAGUGGACACCUGUGAGGCAGUGGACAGACAGCUGCUGAUGUCUGAUGCUGGCUGACAAUAAACAGACCUCUAGGGACGUACCCCAUCUUUUGCAGAGAAAUUAUAACAUUGCCCUUCCUGUAACAUGAUGAUCCUGCUGUCCUGGACUGUAUAUGAUGAGCCUACACAUAAUCUCAGAACAGCUGUGGUAAUAACAGAGGACCCAUUUGGUGAGAGCAGCACUGCAGACUUUCCUGAUGGUGAGGAACUUCUUGCUGAUGAAGCUGCCGACAUGAGUUCACCUUACUAUGAGUGCCUAUGUUCUGUUCAACAUUAUACAGAAAAGCAAUUAAAAGUACACUAAAGCGCACUAUUUUUCUGCUGUAUCUGUUGGCCAUUCAAGAGGAGAUCAUGGACCAUUUUCACAAGACUGAUGAUGUGUUUCAGCUGUGUUUUCAUCUUAAAUCCUCACAAUGUUUGCAUAUUUUGAUUUUA